rnacentral:miRNA from 1 species
UGUGUGUGAGCGGGGGGGGGCCGG